ensembl:ncRNA C31H2.13 ncRNA
AGGGACAAACAAUUGGGGAAGGGGGCAAGAAAGGUGGAAGCAAAAGGUAAAUGGUAUAGAAAGAAGGACGGAACGCUAAAGACCGGACACUGGGGGUUAUGCAUAUGAUAACGAUCGGGGUGAGGGGGACAAACUCAGAUUGCGGUCAUUCCCGAAUGACCUUUC